CAGGUAGAUUAUGUUCCCCGGCCGAGUGUAAAGCUAGCGGUAAAAAAAACCCAGACAGUUGUACCGUAUACCAAUGUUCAUUCAGUGUUGAUGAUGGGUGUGACACUUUUUAUAAAGAUGGCAUUCAGACAUAUUGUUCUGGAAAUGGUGUACCAUGUGGAGAAGGUCAAUUCUGUGCUCUGGGUUCGAGUAAAUGUUUCAAUGACACGGCGUGCAUAUACACUAAUUUUUGCGGCUUGACAGAUAAUGGUGACGCAUGCGGAUAUCAUGGAGGCAAAUGUUCUGAUGGUGUUUGUCUCGUGCCAUGUGUUAAAGAAAGUGAAUGUGGCGGUUCUAUAACAUGUAUUGGUGGCUACUGUGUUGGGGUUAAAUGUGGACAAUCAAUCUGUGAUGGGUAAACCAGUCCAUGUUAUGCUACAGCCACUGUACAGUGAACAACCAUUUCUAGAUUCAAUACAAUUAGUAUCUCGUUUAAAUGAAUUAAUUUUCUCGUUUGAACACAAUAAUUGUCUGGUUCAUAAAUUGUAAUUUUAAGCUAACGA